GUUCACUGAUGAGUGCCGUGCAACCCUGGAUGGUCCAGAUGGAUGGAGUAGUGGAUGGUUGGUGGACGGCCACCCUGUUGGUGGAGUCAUGUUUUGGGCCAGAAUCAUGGGAAGAGAGCUGGUAGGCCCCAUUAGGGUCCCCGAAGGUGUAAAGAUGACCUCUGCAAAGUAUGUGGAGUUUCUGACUGACCACUUUCUUCCCUGGUACAGAAGGAAGAAC